UGGUUAUCGAAAAACAAUCCUGCAGAGCCCGAGAUCAUCUUUGCUAGUUACUGCUGGGAAUGAACAAACUAAAAUUUCACUUCCCUGCCCAUCUGUUCAGCAACCAAAAGCAGGUGCGAAGACUGUCUUCUUAAAAUGGUUGAAGCAAUGAAUCCAUUAUCUGCCUCAGGACACCUUUGCAGAGAAUCUUAUGACAGGAACAAAAUGCACACGCCUCAUCGUGUGAGCCACAGGCCAUCAUCGUCUUGGUACCAGACCCCUUGCAGCCCCAGAAGCAGAGCGGAUGAGCUGGAGGAGAUCCGGCUCCUCGAGGAGAUUUUCUUCAUUUGACAUGCCUCAUUGGUCUUUAAUUUUUAUGUCUUUUUAGGACCUCUUUAUUGCUGAUUUGUUUGUGUUAAAGUGCCAUCUUUAAAUUAUUUGAGUGACAA